rnacentral:rRNA from 1 species
ACUGACUUUAGAUUUUUCUUUGGAAUAUGUGUUUUUUUGGAGAGCCCUCUUUUAUAGUGAAUUUUGUUGGCGCAUGUAUGAUUGUUUAGUUUUUACUUUUUUGGUAAUGCUUUGUGUUUUAUACAUUUAAAACAGAUAUAUAUUUGGCUUAUGGAUUUAUUUUUCAUGUGUUACUAUUGUUAAUUUUCUUUGGAUUAAUUUUUAAUUUUUUUGUUGAAAUUGGAAAARAAAGUAAUUUUUUCUUAAUGUAAUAAUGAAUUUAAUAAAUAAASUGGUACAAACCAUCGAUCAAUAA